UGGGGAAUAUUGGACAAUGGGCGCAAGCCUGAUCCAGCCAUGCCGCGUGAGUGAUGAAGGCCCUAGGGUUGUAAAGCUCUUUUGUGCGGGAAGAUAAUGACGGUACCGCAAGAAUAAGCCCCGGCUAACUUCGUGCCAGCAGCCGCGGUAAUACGAAGGGGGCUAGCGUUGCUCGGAAUCACUGGGCGUAAAGGGUGCGUAGGCGGGUCUUUAAGUCAGGGGUGAAAUCCUGGAGCUCAACUCCAGAACUGCCUUUGAUACUGAAGAUCUUGAGUUCGGGAGAGGUGAGUGGAACUGCGAGUGUAGAGGUGAAAUUCGUAGAUAUUCGCAAGAACACCAGUGGCGAAGGCGGCUCACUGGCCCGAUACUGACGCUGAGGCACGAAAGCGUGGGAGCAAACAGGAUUAGAUACCCUGGUAGUCCACGCCGUAAACGAUGAAUGCCAGCCGUUAGUGGGUUUACUCACUAGUGGCGCAGCUAACGU
rnacentral:rRNA from 1 species